UCAAAUCUGAAAUCAUGAAAAUCUUACAUAUUUGAGUAGCGAAGGUUGUAUGAUUAUGUGGUUGAUUUUUGUAAUUUACUCUUUUGUUUAUAAAGUUAAAAAAAGAGUGAAAGAGGUAACCGGGUUAGUAAUCCCAGGUCCUGGUCUCGUUGAUUUACCAAAACCACCUCAGCAAAAACUUGUUGAAAGGGGUUGAAAGGUCGAUGCUGGUGAUGAGUAGAAACGGAUCUGAACAGUAGCAGCGAACAACACCCAGAUCUAUAACUGCAGCAACAAGCAAGUGAUCUAAUGGCAGGAGGAUGUGACAUUAAAUUGGAGGGGAAGGGAUGAUAGGAAAAGGCAAAGUUGGUCUAUGAAAAAGCAAUGGAAAUGAGGGUAAAUAGGACAAAACGCCGUUGGAGGUUAAGCCGAUGACCGUACAUAACACUGUUCUGAUGAAGAGCGAUUAAGUUGUGGUGUGAUUGGUAGGAUGGUUGAGUAGAUUUGGGGAAGAUAUUGGGGUUUAGAUCUGGAAUUGGGUUUUUUUUGAAUCUGGUGGUGGUGGCGGUGGUGGUGAGAGGUGGUGGUUGGUGAUGGAGAGAGAGGGAAUGAGAGGUAGAAUGGUGGUUUUUGUAAUUUACUCUUUUUAUAAUGAUUUAUUUUAAC
rnacentral:lncRNA from 1 species